rnacentral:rRNA from 1 species
UGCCAGCCGCCGCGGUAAUACGGAGGGUCCGAGCGUUAUCCGGAAUUAUUGGGUUUAAAGGGUCCGUAGGCGGGCAGCUAAGUCAGAGGUGAAAGUUUGCAGCUCAACUGUAAAAUUGCCUUUGAUACUGGUUGUCUUGAGUUAUAGUGAAGUUGCCGGAAUAUGUAGUGUAGCGGUGAAAUGCAUAGAUAUUACAUAGAACACCGAUUGCGAAGGCAGGUGACUAACUGUAUACUGACGCUGAUGGACGAAAGCGUGGGGAGCGAACAGGAUUAGAUA